rnacentral:rRNA from 1 species
UACGUAGGGACCAAGCGUUGUUCGGAUUUACUGGGCGUAAAGGGCGCGUAGGCGGCUUGACAAGUCACUUGUGAAAUCUCCGGGCUUAACUCGGAACGGCCAAGUGAAACUGUCAUGCUAGAGUGCAGAAGGGGCAAUCGGAAUUCUUGGUGUAGCGGUGAAAUGCGUAGAUAUCAAGAGGAACACCUGAGGUGAAGACGGGUUGCUGGGCUGACACUGACACUGAGGCGCGAAAGCCAGGGGAGCAAACGGG